ensembl:lncRNA
AUGGUCAUUACUCUUUCAGAAGUAAACGACAUCAGUGGGCGUUUUCUUAUCAGAGAGCGUGAGACAUUUUUACACAUUUCGCCUUGCUCAUUCAACCGCCUCUCAUUUACAGUCUCAUCAUGCGGACCGCUCUGCUUCUCGCGGUGUUCUCGUGCUUUUCUCUUAUCGAGGGAAAGCCAUUCGAAGCGAUUCACAGCUAUCCUGGAUGGAAAUUCAGCAUACUUUUCUCAUCCCUUCAAAAACGUAACCCGUAAUGGAAUCAGUGUGACUUACUGUCCAUUUUCAGUCAUAUUCCAUGCCUCUUGUCCUAAUUAUGUCAAUCACCUUACAUGUUCUUGCACCAAUUCCACCAGCAUCUAUCCAGUGUUUAGCACAACUCUGCCAUCUAGAGAUUCAUCCUCCACUGCAAUCAAAACUAAUUCUUCAGUGAGACAACACUAUGCUGCCAUUGCUGUUGCUGCCAUUUUUGUCAUAACCCUUGUCAUUUUGGCUUUCCACUCUGCAAGCACAGCGAAAUAUGCUCCUGAAGGACAAAACCAGCCUGGUUCAGUAGAAUGA